ACGUCAUGUCAUAAUAAUAAUUGACCAUUUGUUUUUAUGUCGCAAAAAUGAAAUUAUUCCUUACAUUCAUACGCAGUCAUUGUGAUUGGUCCGUCAGUGUAAUUUUCUGUGGCUUGUGAUCCUUUUUAAAGGGCUGUCGAGGAGUCAGGGGAUCAAAGGGUCAAGCGGGUGUGAUGGGUGCGGAGGGAGCAGCAGGAAAAAAAGGGUCCAUGGGAUCGAGUGGGCACCAGGGAGAGAAGGGCUACACAGGCUGGAGGGGCCUCAAGGGAGAAAUAGGACCACCGUGCAUGGUGAAGGUAUGUUGUAAACAUGAAAGUCAUCGGCCACUUAUUCCUUUUCAAGGAGGCCGAGGGAAAUAUGACAUUUUAACUGUAGGCCUGUACGCGGGGCAUCACAGUGGAUAACUGGUUGGCAUGUCGGCCUCACAGUGUAGAGGUGCAGGGUCCGAUUCCGAUUCCGGCUCCGGCCUUCCUUUGUGGAAUUUGCAUGUUCUCCCCGGGCCUGCGUAGGUUUUCUCCAGGUACUCCGGUUCCUCCCACAUU